rnacentral:rRNA from 1 species
GCUCAGGACGAACGCUGGCGGCGUGCCUAACACAUGCAAGUCGAACGGUAAGGCCCCUUCGGGGGUACACGAGUGGCGAACGGGUGAGUAACACGUGAGCAACCUGCCUCUGACUUUGGAAUAACAGUUGGAAACAGCUGCUAAUACCGGAUAUGACUUACCCUCGCAUGGGGGUGGGUGGAAAGCUCCGGCGGUCAGGGAUGGGCUCGCGGCCUAUCAGCUAGUUGGUGAGGUAAUGGCUCACCAAGGCUUCGACGGGUAGCCGGCCUGAGAGGGCGACCGGCCACACUGGGACUGAGAUACGGCCCAGACUCCUACGGGAGGCAGCAGUGGGGAAUAUUGCACAAUGGGCGAAAGCCUGAUGCAGCAACGCCGCGUGCGGGAUGACGGCCUUCGGGUUGUAAACCGCUUUCACCCAUGACGAAGCGCAAGUGACGGU